CUUGGGACAGCUGCAUUCCACUCAACCCAAGAACCACCAUGCAGUGAAACUAAAGGGGAUUUUGUCUUCCUUAUUUCUCCUUGCAACUGAGAGCAAAGUUUAAGAUGGAGAUAUCUGCACAAUACAAAGUGACAUUGAGUGAGGUGAUCAUAUCAAAGGAAGAAGUAACACUCAAAUUUACAUUUAACUCUGUCAGUUCAAUACAAGUUUAAAAUAGAAGAAGCAAGUCAUCUCCAUUUGACAACCAUGACAGCUAUAGCACAUGAGUUUGCAAGCCAAGCAGUGAGUGCUCAUAGGAGAACAGUUAUUCCAUAUCCAACUUUGCAGGCUGAUAAAAAGUAGUUUAUUGCUAGCAGAAAAUAAGUGACCCAAGCAACUUACUCUCACCAGGUUCAAUAAAUUUCUUCAGCAACUGAUCAUGUGGAGAAAAUGAAACAAAACUUCCUGAAGUUCAUGGAAAUGUUGGUAAACACUGACAAGGAAAAUUACCACCUAAGACUCUCCUUCUCAGUGUUCUUGUUUGAAGAGAUGGUCUUUCAGAGAUCUCUUCUGACGGUGACGCCUUUCUGAAUAUGGAAAUGCAGUGUCCUUGGCUUUUGCCAGACCAUCUCUUCUUGUGCCAUUUGGGUCCUCUAUUCAGGCACAACGUACUCAAGUCCAUACUGCUCAAGUAUAUUUUAUUCAAAUGCCUCUUUCAGAAGGAGAGAAAAGGUAUGAUGGACGGAACAUCUGAUUGCUAACAAGAGCUCACACAACUUUCAAAAUGCGACAUGGCAGGCGUCUCUUCACAGAGUGGGCAAAAGGCACACAGUACCAGGAGACAUUAGGUUUUUAAAAGUGAAGUUAAACUGAUAAAUUAGACCUCAUUUAUUGAACAGCAGUUACAGCCAAUUGCCCAGGGAGUCAUUUGACACCUUUGAAGACCCUGCUAACUUAAUUGGUGAUAGUUUGGGGGCUGAAGGAAACAUUUAAGCCUGUAGCAGCAGGACACCGUGCAGCAUGAAAAUGGAGAAGACAGGCAUUCUCACUGACAAGGGGAGUCAUAUAUAGAUUUUUGUGUCCAUUGUUUUCGCUUAUUUGUGUGUGUGCUUUACUCAGUCAAUCAAAUAUAAUUGACACCACUGGGUUCUGUUGUUUUGUGGAUGACAGAAGCUAAUGCAAGGGAAAAAAGCUGGAAGUAAACUUCCCCCUGAAAGGCUGUGUAAAGGUUUUUCCACCGGGCUUGUGACAUUUUUUGCUCAAUUGUAUUAAUUGAUGUAGUGACAAGGCAGUUGGAAAGAUGAUG